AUCUGGAUAGUGUUGCACUCUUGCUAUUCUAAUUCUAAAAACUAAAGUUCUAAACCAAACUCAAUUCUCAACACACAACUCUCAACGUCAUAGUAGCAUCUCGCCUACUCAUUCGACCUUCCAUCUGUGCUCAAGGUAUGUUAUCAAUUAUGUUCCAUUUCCCCUUAAAUGAUUCAAUGUCAAGAAGCUUUCAAUGGGGUUUAUUUUACAAUCAUGAUUAAAUGUUAUCAAUCUUGUUUCAUUUUUAAGAAAAGAACUGUUGGCAUGCUUCUAAUGCCAUACUUUGUAGCUAUACUUGGAUUGUCAUGUUUGAUAUUGUUUAACAUAUCUUUUUCAAUGAUGAUAAAGCUAAUCUAUUUACUAUUUCUUCUGGCAUUAUAAAUCUUCAAUAAUUUUAGUUUUGAAAGUAUAAUAUAUAAUAACAAAAUAAUUUGUUGUUGAUGUGUUUUGUCACUCUGUGAGAAUAAUGAGCUUCUAGUAGUAAAAAAUGUGUUGUCAUUAGUGUUAAGCUUGUAGAAUGCAAUUUUGCCAACAUAUUUUUUGGCUAACUCAUCAACAAUGGGCUCUAUCGUCUAGCAAUAUAAUUAAAUAACUAGGAAGUGCUCUGUUUCAUUGCAACAUCAUCUAAAUUAUAGUCUAGAUGUUCUAAGUAUGUCAAACAAUUACACAACAUCCAAAUUAUAGUCUUUUAAUAUUGAAGUUGGAUAAAGAGCUUUUAAAGUUAGAAACAUUUUCACUUGUUCAAUGAAGGUUUUUCCAUUCUUUUAUCUUUUGUUGUUGUUAUUACAUUUUUAUUUUCCAUUCUGUAUUAAAAAAAUUGUCUUCUAUUGUUAUUCGUUUAUUUUUUCAUCUUUGCAGGUCAAUAUAUUAUGGAUUCCAGUGUUGACAAGCCUCUAACAUCAACAUCAUAAACACAUGCACAUAAAGAUCAAAAGGACUUUUCAAUGUUGUAAUGAGGCCAAUGAUAAGGUAGGAUAAAUAUGUAAUAUGUAGCUAAAACCAAAUGGAAUAGAUGAACAAUGUGGAAUAAGUAAAAAGUAAGUAAAAAUCAACCCAAAAUAAGAC
rnacentral:lncRNA from 1 species